rnacentral:ncRNA from 3 species
AAGACUAUACUUUCAGGGAUCAUUUCUAUAG